UACAGAGGUCCCGAGCGUUUGUUCGGAUUCAUUGGGCGUAAAGGGUGCGUAGGCGGCGGGGAAAGUCUGAUGUGAAAUCCUGGGGCUCAACCCUGGAACUGCAUUGGAUACUUCCUUGCUAGAGUACUGGAGAGGAAACUGGAAUUUACGGUGUAGCAGUGAAAUGCGUAGAGAUCGUAAGGAAGACCAGUGGCGAAGGCGAGUUUCUGGACAGUUACUGACGCUGAGCACGAAGGCCAGGGGAGCAAACGGG
rnacentral:rRNA from 1 species